rnacentral:lncRNA from 1 species
GCUGGGCACAGUGGCUUAUGACUGUAAUCCCAGCACUUUGGGAGGCUGAGGUGGGCAGAUUGCUUGAGUGCAGGAAUUCGAGACCAGCCUGGGCAACAUGGCCAAACCCCAUUUCAACAAAAAAAUGCAAAAAUUAGCCUGGCGUGGUGGUGUGUGCCUAUAGUUCCAGCUACUUAGGAGCUGGGACUUCUUUGUAGAUAUGGGGUUUUGCCAUGUUGCCCAGGCUGGUCCUGAACUCCUGGGCUCAAGCAGUCUUCCCUCCU